ACUCCUUGCACAUGUGGAAUGCGCUGUGGUGAUUGAGGGUGCUCAUACAGGAGCACUGGGGCUCGUCAGGGCAUCUUGUCCGACAGGUGUAUGAACAUUUAGAUUUACAUUAGUACAGGUACUCUAAAUACAAUAGAAAUAUGUAUGCUUGUCAUUAAGAUCACCUUGUACAACAGACAUAAUAGUACAGAAAUGCAUGUCAAAACUAUUUAAUUAGGUCAACUUGAGAAGAAUAAAAAACAUUGUUAAACGGUUCUCUAAGCAAUCCUGUUUCUUUGUCACUCUGUCAACAGCAUCAACUGGUCAAUGUACCAGCAAGAUUUUAAAAAGAAAAUGUACAAAUUCAUGGAUAUAAGAACAUUAAUGGGGCUAGAAAACUACAUUGGAAGGACAAGAAACUACCCCAAGUACAGUGUGCUCCAACUGUGCAAGAACUGCAACAACGGAGAAGAAUUUCAGCUGGGCUUGGAGGGAGAACAUUCUGCCCAUUCGGCACUGAGCUCAGACGUGGGGAACGGGGACCAGCAGGGCUCCCCCACUGCUGCUGGAGACGCAUCUCCAGCCCCGAGGGGUACCCCAGCGGACAGGGAGGUGCCUUUGGUGCCGACGGCCCUCCUGAGGCCCCAGGAGCAAGCAGAACCUGAGACCUGGGCCUCUCUUCACCUCAAGCCUUCUCCGGCCCUGAGACGGUCACUCUCCGGCGCUGCGACCCAGGCCACGCCAGCAGACUCCCUCCUGCGCACGGCGGCGUUGGGGUCCCGGGUACGGAACGUGUCGGUGGCGGGGGAGAAGGGGCGCCCCCGGGAGACUGGAUUGCCGGGGAAAGUCCCUCACCUCGGGCCGGCAGAGCUGGGCAUCCUGCUGGGCUGUGCGGCCGCACUGGGCAUGGCUGUCACCACGGGCCUCCGGUACCUGCACAGCCAGUACUGCCGCAAGCGCACCGAGGUGUCCAUCAGCGACCGCGACAGCAAUGUUAUCCACGUCCAGGAGUGCGGGGACCUGGUGCAGACUUCAGGGAACAAGAAGAGGCCGACUGCGAGCUGAAAAGCAAAAAAGAAGGGAAAAGAAACGGAAACAGGAGCCUUCAAAUGAGGUUAUGGAAGAGCAGAUAGGAGAGUGAGGGGAUGAGAAAUUGGGUUUGAAG
rnacentral:lncRNA from 1 species